UGUGUCGAGGGGUGUGUAAGGAGGGUGAUAGGGCAGAAAACGCUUAUCUUUUACUCGCCACCCUCCAGAAUUUGGCGCAGUAAAUAUGUCACGCUUACGCGCUGAGAAGUGUUAUUUGUACUCGUCAUGACAUUAUGAAUGUUAUUGUUGUUCUUUAGAAUAAUCGUAAAUAAAACUUCAUUUGUUUUAUGAAGUAGGUUAUUCUUGUGUGCUUCAGAAAUACAGUAUGUAGACCACAACCUUCACCUUUCAAAAGACUUCAGAAUGGAGGAGGAGGGUCUUUAAGGGGAAGUUAGGAGAAAAGUGAUAUUUUAAGUUCGCCGGAACAGAUGAGAGAAAAACAGCGAUGCCUGUCGUACGAGCGGCCUUAUGCUUUCUGAUGAUUCAAAGCAUCUUUAAAGAUAUAAGAACGAAGGCGGACACGGUGGAUGUUUGUGCCUCUUGCCAUCAAAAUGCCACCUGUGAUGAUAAAACCGACGGAUCUGGGGGGAAAGUGUGCAACUGCAUGUAUGGAUUUGUUGGCAACGGGAGGACUUACUGCCAAGAUAAAGACGAGUGUCAGCUGGGCAAAAUCUGUGGCGAUCACACCAAGUGUCACAACACGUAUGGCAGCUAUUACUGCACCUGUCUCAGAGGCUACAGCCCGUCCAAUCGCAUGAGCACGUUCAUACCCAAUGAUGGAACGUACUGCCUUGAUAUAGACGAGUGUGGUGUGCAGGGGGUCUGUGGUGAAGGAGGUCUCUGUCACAACACAGAGGGAGAUUUCACCUGCUCCUGUCAGGUGGGUUACACAGUCCAGGAUGGGUCAGAGCCCUUUAAUCCGAACCGGGAUGCAGCAUACUGCAAGGUGAUAGACUGUGGGUCUCCUCCAUCAGUCCUCCACGCCGAGCAGCUCUCUACCACGAUCACGCACUACAGCAGUGAGCUCCAGUACGGCUGCAGGGAGGGAUUUCAGUGGAAGAGAGGACAGAAUUACUCAGUCUGUGACCUGGACGGAAAGUGGCACGGACCCAGUCUGGUCUGUGAAGAAGUGGACUGCGGGGAGCCUGGCGUUUUUCCUCGGUCAAAAGCGGUUUGGGAUAACAUCUCACGCAUGGGAUCACUGGCGCUGUAUGUGUGUGAGCCACAUUUUUAUAACAGUGGGCGUGAGAAUGUAUCUGUAUGUACUGCUGGCGGGACGUGGAGCCGUCCUGACUUCCGCUGUGAAGAGAUACAGUGCGGUUCUCCUCUGGUCCUGAGUCACUCAGUGUUGUUCUGGAACGGUGUCAGUAAGAUUGGUUCCGUGGCUCUGUAUGACUGUGAUGUUGGAUAUCGCAGUUUGGAUGCAGGCAACAUGUCUGUGUGUGAAAGUGACGGUCAGUGGAGUAACCCAGACUAUUCUUGUGAAGAGAUUGUGUGUGGGGAGCCACCUAUACUGCCCCUCACUGUACACACAUGGAAUGGCAGAGUCACAUUUAACAGCACUGUAACAUAUCACUGCAAACACGGUUACUAUGCUAAACAAGGACUUAAUAUAUCUGUGUGUGCUGAGAACGGUUACUGGACAAAACCAACUCUGUUGUGCGAAGAGGUGAGCUGUGGAGUGCCGCCUUCUCUCCACCUCUCUGUUAUGAUAUGGAAAGGAGACGCUAAAGUUGGAUCUAGUGUGUCUUAUAAGUGCGUUGAGGGAUUUCAUAAUGUUAGGGAAGGACAUACAUCAAUUUGCAAUUCAGAGGGAAUGUGGAGUCGUCCUGAUUUUCUGUGUCAAGAAGUAGACUGUGGGGUCCCCGUCUCUCUACCUCACUCAGUCGUGUUAUGGAAUAACAGCUCCAGUCUGGGCUCUGUGGCCCUCUAUGCGUGCGAAGCUGGAUAUCGCACAGUGGGUGAAGGAAAUGUGUCUUUGUGUAACUCAAAUGCGAAGUGGAGCAAAGUUAGCAUGAGAUGUGAAGAGAUAAACUGCGGGGCUCCCCCAGAAUUCCCACUAACAGAUAUAUACUGGAACAAGGCAUCUACACUGGGCAGUGUGGUUCAGUACAAAUGUAAAUAUGGGCUCAAACAGGAGAGUGACAAAAAUAUGACGACAUGUACAUCAGAUGGAUCAUGGGAAAAAGUGUCUGUAACAUGUACAGCACAUUGUGGCCCUGCUCCAGAGGUGGCGCACGCGGAGGUAGCAUGGGACAACGGCACUGCAGUGAUCCACCGCUGUGUUAGAGGACACUACAGACGCACAGGAAGUGACAUUUCAAUAUGUGACAUCUCAGGAAAGUGGCAGAUCGCCACCCUGCAUUGCAAAGAGUUGAAGCUGACAGUUAACCAUUUAGUGGUGAUUAACGAAAGAUGCCUGCGCUGGAAUGCGGAGAAUGAGGGUUAUAGGGAGAAAUACGCUGUGACAUUCGUUGGUUCGCGGGACUUUGAGCAGCCGUUCAGUGACAGGAAAAAAAAGACAUUUAGCUCCUCUGCCCUGUGGCCUGUUUUCUGCUUGAAUCUCUUGCCGGCCACAAACUACACCAUAACCAUUACAGCCGAGUCCACGCGAGCCACGUCUACAGUCACAGCGAACACUAGCAUACCAGUUCCCCCCACACCGUAAAUCAAAUACAGCGAGGUAGAGGCUUCAUCGCCCACCCUCAGAUUACGGAGAUCCACUAACACACUUGACUCAAUAUGGAAAAAACUGAGGAUGGAUUUUGUGCGUCUCCUUUGCUUUUAUGACUGCAUCACUUGAGCAUGAACAAAAUAUUAUGAACUGAAGAUCAUGAAGAGUUUAGAUGAUCAAUGUCUGAAAUCAGUUAGUGACCUGGAAAUGUAUGUACCAGGUGUUUGUGAUACCAGUCGAGGGCGUGAUGCUGUUUGACUGCAGCUCGUCUGUAAGUCCGCGGUUUUUCACGCAGCAGCGGUGUGACAGAGGCUACGUCACGGCCCAGAUACAGCUCAGCGGUCUGCCCGCAGAUAUCAACUUCACCAUAGGGGACCAGCAGCUGUAUGGAGACUUCUUCAAUGCACCUCUGGAAAAUGGAAAAGACUAUUACGUCAUCCUCCGCACUGUGUGUCAGUGGGGAAAAGCUAGAACACAGUCCUGUGUGAUCUGGGCUAAAGCCAGAGGAACAUCCUACAUCAUGAAGAUGUCCGCUCUUGUAACCGUUGGAUCCAUAAGUGCUGUUGGCUCGGUCAUUGUCGUGGGAUACUGGUACAGCUGGUACUGUAAAAAGUCAAGUCCCGGAUUUUACUCUGCGCCAAUUUUAACAUCUUACACUGACUGACUGCUUUUGCAAUAAAGCCGAUCUGUUUGUAAAGCUGA